UCUGCUGUGACCCGCACACUUCUCCACAUCCAGCUGGAGUCUGCAGUUUGGAUAAAAUACAGAUAUGUAGCCAGCAAACAUGAAGCUAUUGGCCUAAUCAUAAGCUGCUAGGAGAAUAUCAAAGGGCUAUAUCCUUUACAAAAAAUACAAUGAUUUCAUGAUAUCAACAUAGAAAUUUUAAUUGAAAUUAUCAAUCAGAUCCAGUUGCUUUUAAUUAAAAGAAGACACAAUUACAUUUAUACUGCUAAGAUAAUAUUGAUUAAAACCAAUAUAAUGUCUGACAUUUAUUGUUAUUAAUAAUAACACGGCACACUUCUUUUUAUUUUUUACUGGAAACCUUAUUCAGACAGCUAUCAAAGUUAUAUGUACAAGAACAUUUAUUUUUAAAGUAUUUUUGAAUUGUAUUGAUAGAUGGUUCAGCAUAUUUAAAUAUUCCUAGUGGGGAAAAGAGAAUAGAAUAGGAAUAGAAUAUUCUGAUAUUUAUGUAUCAGAAUCAGAAGAAUUUUAUUGUCAAUAUUCUGAUAUUGAUGUAUCAGAAUCAGAAGAAUUUUAUUGUCAUUGUCAGAAAGACAACAAAAUUGCAGUUCCAGUACAACCAUCUAUUACACAACACCAGAUUCCGAUAGCAGAAAUUUGUUUAGGUCAGGCUGAUAUCAGUUUACUGCCUUCCUUUAAAGUCUUGCUGGUGCUUCUCAAUGGCAAAUCCAAACAGCCAAAUUUUAGGGUCUCCCGCCUUAUCCGAGCGAACAACGUUCUCCAAGGUCACACCAUAUCCAUUCUGAGUCCGAGAUCCGCUGCCCGGCCACGGUCCUGUUCGAGGAUCGCACCCAGUCUACAGCUCAGCUCCCGUAUCAUCUCAGUCUGAAUGUUGAUCACUCUGCAGAUCCCAUCAACCAUACCCGGCAGCCUCGAAGUGGCCAAAACGGCUGCCGGCAUCUUCCAAUAUUUCUGAUAAGCCAGGUAGCCGCCAACUCCAAUAAGCAGAAAACCUAUUAUCAUAAAUCCAAUCAUAUACACAUCUUCAACAUCCUCGACUAACAGCCUCGUCAGACACACGGUCUUCCACUUCCAUCCAGAAUCCAUUGUGUAUCCAGCGAAGAAUGUUCUGUCGGGUCAUGAGGGUUCCCCUUUACCCGGUUUCUCAGUGGAAAAAUUUUUUAUCAAUUGCGUUGAGAGACCAGCUGACCAGAUCCAUAAUUUGCAACUUCGGAAGCUAUGCAAAGAAGACUCUAAAAACUCAGGACACAGACGCUGAGCAGGGAAGAUAGGGAGGGCAGGGAGACAGAGAAAGUGCAUCAUCCUCCUUCGAAAGACAGAGCAGAAAAAUGUAUGAUGAGCAUUUUACAAAGAACACAGCCGUCCAUACAUAUUUAUAUAAAUAUACAAAAUGCGGGGUCUAUUCUUUAAUUAUGUCUAUGCUGCACUGUAGUCUACUCCCGGUCCGCUUGCAUCCUUGUAUGCAUUUGAACCGUGGCAGAGUUCAUUUCAACCGAACCCAGGCUGAGAUUUGAAGGCAGACCAGAGUUUGCUUUUUUUGUCUCCAUUGAAGUUCGUUUCACACCUCCCAACCGGACCUUCUACUAGAGUUAGAUUAAAGCAGCAUGCCCCCUGGUGGCAAGACACAAAAUUGUAAGGGUUUUGAAACCAUUGUAUUUUUUU